GAUAGAGCCACCGGAAGUCAGUUCUCUCUCCCUCUGGAUGGAGUGUUGUGGAUAUGAAGUUAGAAUUGCUGCAGACAUCUAACCACCAGGACAGAAGCGAGCUGAGGAUGAAAUUCAACCACAGAGGGCAGACUGGAAAGAAAUGGGUUCUUGCCAUCACUGAACUGCUAAAUCCAAACUCAUUCUAGUUAUGUAAGCUAAUAAAAAAUUCUCUUCCGUACGAGCCAGUCUACACUGGGUCUCUCUCUCUUGCAUAAGAGCCCUAACUGAUAUAACAUCCUGUGCAGCUAACGAGGACUUCUAAUGUUGCUGCCGGCUUCACCACAUGACCAGCCCAUUCUUCUCCAUUUCCUCAAGCUAGCUGACAACAAAGGCCAGAGCGCAGUCUGGAAGCCCCUCUCCUGCAAGGCCAAGGCUUGCCUGUCCCGAUGGCAAAGGCACCUGUAACUGAACACUCUCGGGGUCCACCACCCACAUGUAGCAAACACUUGUUCAUAAGCUGGAAAUGAAGAAAUGUUUCUUGUCAAGUUUUCUUAAGGCCUCCUUGCUGCUGGUAGCAACCCCCAGCGGGUCCUCUGUAAGGUGGGCAGGACACACUGGGGAACAACCAGAAUGAACCGCUGCAACAGCUACUGGAGGAGCCACUGCACCUGGAAGUCUGGGCUGGUGUGUGGCCCACGUCCCACCAAGCAGCAGGGUGGUGGGAAGAAUGCUGGGGUCAGAGGCAGGUUCUCAUCCCAGCUCUGGCACUAGGACGCUAAAUAACCAUGGACACCUGACUUGACUUCUUCGUUGUCCUACAUUUCAUUUGUAAAAAAGUAGAUUACACUAGACCAUCUCCUGCCCAGUAAAAGUCAAUUCAUUAUAACUGUCCACAAGGCGCCACCUAUUCUGGUUCCUCACCACCUGUCUGGAUCAUCUCCCCUCCUCAUAUCAGCCCCUUGGCCUUUCCUGGAAUACCACACCCAUUCCCACCUCAGGGCCUUUGCAUCUGUUCUCCCUCUGCCCAGAAUGUUCUUCCCCAGGAU